AGAACAAACCGGAUGGUCGCUGCACAGCCAAAAGCUGUGUAGAGGAAAGUCCGAGCUCCAUAGGACAGCGUAGUGGGUAAUACCCACCCUUGCAUACUUUGUAUGUGGGCGGAUUAGAGCAGCAGUGACGAUAUCUCGAUAAGCCUGGGGUUUACCCCGAGCGAAGUCGAGGGGUGAAACGUGGCAAUCUCUGCGCGGAGCAAGACCAAAUAGGAGGAGGGCUGUCCGCCUGUUAUUUCUCGGGUUAGGUCGCAAGGAUCCUGUAGAGUAAUUUACAGGACAAGAUAAAUGAUCAUCGUCCCGCUUUGCGGGAUACAGAACUCGGCUUAUAGGUUUGUUCUCCCU
rnacentral:RNase_P_RNA from 1 species